AUUUAUAUAGCUUAUAAUCAGAGUAUGGUAUUGAAGCUGCCAAGGAAGUAGAGACUUAUAAAUG
rnacentral:tRNA from 1 species